UCCCACCCUUUUUCCCGAAGGUAAUACGGGGGGUGCAAGCGUUACUCGGAAUCAUUGGUCUUAAAGGGCGCGCAGGCGGCCUGGUAAGUCAGAUGUGAAAGCCCGGGGCUUAACCCCGGAAGUGCAUUUGAUACUGCUGGGCUUGAGUAUGGGAGAGGGAAGUGGAAUUCCUGGUGUAGAGGUGAAAUUCGUAGAUAUCAGGAGGAACACCGGUGGCGAAGGCGACUUCCUGGACCAAUACUGACGCUGAGGCGCGAAGGCGUGGGGAGCGAACAGGAUUAGAUACCCUGGUAGUCCACGCAGUAAACGUUGUUCACUAGGUGUAGCGGGUAUUGACCCCUGCUGUGCCGCAGCUAACGCAUUAAGUGAACCGCCUGGGGAGUACGGCCGCAAGGUUAAAACUCAAAGGGAUUGACGGG
rnacentral:rRNA from 1 species